rnacentral:rRNA from 1 species
AACGAACGUUGGCGGCGUGGAUUAGGCAUGCAAGUCGAACGCGAAAGAGGGGGCAACUCCUCGAGUAGAGUGGCGAAAGGGGCAGUAAGGCGUGGAUAACCUACCCUGAGGAUGGGCAUAGCCGUUCUAACGAGCGGGUAAUUCCCAGCGUUGUAGCGAGAUGGCAUCACCUUGCUACUAAAUGAUUUAUCGCCUUGGGAGGGGUUCACGUGAUAUUAGCUUGUUGGUGAGGUAACGGCUCACCAAGGCUGAGAUGUCUAGCGGGUGUGAGAGCACGACCCGCGCCACUGGCACUGAGACACUGGCCAGACACCUACGGGUGGCUGCAGUCGAGGAUCUUCGGCAAUGAGCGCAAGCUUGACCGAGCGACGCCGCGUGCGCGAUGAAGGCCUUCGGGUUGUAAAGCGCUGUCGAGGGGGAGGAAGCUCCGCGAGGGGUUGACCUAUCCCUGGAGGAAGCACGGGCUAAGUUCGUGCCAGCAGCCGCGGUAAGACGAACCGUGCGAACGUUGUUCGGAUUCACUGGGCUUAAAGGGCGCGUAGGCGGCUUGCCAAGUCAGGGGUGAAAUCUUUCGGCUUAACCGGAAAACAGCCUUUGAUACUGGCGAACUAGAGGGAGGUAGGGGUGCGUGGAACUUCUGGUGGAGCGGUGAAAUGCGUAGAUAUCAGAAGGAACGCCGGUGGCGAAAGCGACGCACUGGAUCUCUACUGACGCUGAGGCGCGAAAGCUAGGGUAGCGAACGGGAUUAGAUACCCCGGUAGUCCUAGCCCUAAACGAUGGGUACUAGGUUGUAGACUUGACAUGGGUUUACAGCCGAAGCAAAAGUGUUAAGUACCCCGCCUGGGGAGUAUGGUCGCAAGGCUG